UUAUUUUGUUGAGGGGUGCAGAGAGAGGAAUUGGGGGAAGGAUUCAGUGCCAGGAGGGUCCCCAUGACUCUUCAGUGACCUGUGCUCCCCGUGCUGUCCCAUCGGCAGGUACAGAACUGAGGGGCUUCACUCUGACAAUCCUGAAAUCCCCCUGGGGACAGGACUCACCCCACGGACCUGGCACAGAAUGCCGGCUCAGUUUGCUCCGUGGGUGAGUGAAGGAAGGACGGUGUUGGCUUGAACUUGACCUGUCCAACCCCACUUGGACUCGCUCCACCCCUUUCCCAAUCUUAAGGCUCAGUAACUUAUUUACUCAAAACAGAAAAGAAAAAAAAAGCAGGAAUAAUUAAUUUAAUGAGUUAAUGACCAAAGCUCAAAUGCUAUGCCACAACUAGAUGCCUUGGUGACAAUUUAUGGCUUUUGAAUCCUAUUGACCAGCCUUUUCGAGUUGUGAGCAGCAUUAGCCCAAACUGCAUCUUCAUUCUGGAGUAAGGGUUCUUCACACUUCCGGGAACCUGGACUGGCACAGGCUGUCAUUGCUUUCUUGUCCCUGCCAUCUCUGUAGGACACAGGAUGCCUCUGGGCAUUACGGGGACUGUGGACUUGAAACAAUAGUGGAGGUGGGAAUGAAGGAAGAGCAGACCUAUGUGAGAAUGUGGAUCGACAUCCUCAGUUGCUCUAGAAUCAGCCAGAAGACAAAGGAAUGCUGUCCAGACACAGAGGAUAAUAAGCAUGUUUGCGGCCAGGCCGAGUUCCAACAAUAGGCAGGAGAUGCCGGAGGAGCCAAGGAACGAGACAAGAGACUGAGGAUCUUCGCCUUUCCACAACAUUUCUAGCUCCUAUGUUCAGCCAGCUAUUGAAAAUCUCAAGGAAAGUAGUAGAACGAAGACCCUAGAGCUAAGGCCUUCCACCCUCAAAGGGCCACUAACUCAUUAGGUCCCAAGAACGUGGUCAGAACCAAAGUGGGAGUGAGGAAGCUGCUCUCUUUUGUGGCAGUCUAGCUCCACCAGAACUGGUCAUGCAGGGUCCCUGGGAGUCCUCAGGGGUUGGUUUGCUCCAAUCUGGCAGGGAAAUUUAGUCCCUUGUACGGGGGGCCCAGAGCCCAGGUCAGUCCAAGACCUUGCUGGAGACAGACAGAAGAGAGCCACAGCUGGGUCCAGCUUCUGAACCCAACCCAAUCCAGAUUAUGAUCUGGGGACUGAGCUGAGUCGUAUGAGCCUCUGUGAACUGGAGCAGGAUUUGGGACUAGAAAGGAGUGGAUGAUGUUUUCCAGGGCUCACCACUGGGCCUCAGGACAGUCAGGCUUUGCCGGACCACUCGACUCUUUCGCUUCUGAAGGCCCUCUGGUUGAGUAAAGAAGAGACCCUGUGUCCCAGGCCAUCACUUUCUCCUUCUCUCACUAAGGGUUUCACCGGGGCCCAGUAUGCACACAUGUAAACGACCACAGAAAUGGGUGCAGCAAAAUCGUUGGUUUUUAUUGCAGUCCUCAAAACAAAUAGGCAUCUUUUCAUCGAAAUCAUAAAUUGGAAAGGUGAAACAGAGAAAUGUCCAAAUUGGGGGACAGAGAAGGGAUAUGAGGGAGCCACAGCAGCUUGACAUGUGCUGGUUAAGCCCUCACACUUUGAGAGCCAAAUCAAACUGUUCUCUGGACCCAGUUUUCACAAGGCAACCCUAAGCACUUAGAAACACAUGGCUACCAGGACCUGGACACACUGAAUUAGCUCCCAGAUGCACAGUCUAAAAUGUAGGCAUACAAUUUCAAUA
rnacentral:lncRNA from 1 species